GACAGAGGUGCCGAGCGUUAGGCGGAAUCACUGGGCUUAAAGCGUGUGUAGGCGGGCGAUCAAGUACCUUGUGAAAUCCCACGGCUCAACCGUGGAACCGCUGGGUAUACUGGUUGUCUUGAGCCGGCUAGGGGCGAGCGGAACAGACGGUGGAGCGGUGAAAUGCGUAGAUAUCGUCUGGAACGCCGAAGGUGAAAACAGCUCGCUGGGGCCGCGCUGACGCUGAGACACGAAAGCCUGGGGAGCGAACGGG
rnacentral:rRNA from 1 species